ACCCUUAGAUGAAGAAGACCUACUUGCUUACAUUCUGGAUGGGCUAAAUGAGGAUUUUGAACCUGUUGUAUCUGCUAUUGUGGCACGCAAUGAGACGGUCACAAUGUCGGAAGUUUGUUCUCAAUUUCUUAAUUUUGAGA
rfam:Oryza glaberrima chromosome 10 Oglab10_0007_6, whole genome shotgun sequence.